CACAACAAAUACACAACAAAUACACAACACACACACACAGGAGAGGUUCUCCAUAGCGCUGGUAGGUCCAAACACACAACAAAUACACAACAAAUACACAACACACACACAGAAGAGGUUCUCCAUGGCGCUGGUAGGUCCAAACACACAACAAAUACACAACAAAUACACAACACACACACAGAAGAGGUUCUCCAUGGCGCUGGUAGGUCCAAACACACAACAAAUACACAACAAAUACACAACACACACACAGAAGAGGUUCUCCAUGGCGCUGGUAGGUCCAAACACACAACAAAUACACAACAAAUACACAACAAAUACACAACACACACACAGAAGAGGUUCUCCAUGGCGCUGGUAGGUCCAAACACACAACAAAUACACAACAAAUACACAACACACACACAGAAGAGGUUCUCCAUGGCGCUGGUAGGUCCAAACACACAACAAAUACACAACAAAUACACAACACACACACAGAAGAGGUUCUCCAUGGCGCUGGUAGGUCCAAACACACAACAAAUACACAACACACACACAGGAGAGGUUCUCCAUGGCGCUGGUAGGUCCAAACACACAACAAAUACACAACAGAUACACAACAGAUACACAACACACACACAGGAGAGGUUCUCCAUGGCGCUGGUAGGUCCAAACACACAACAAAUACACAACAGAUACACAACACACACACACAGGAGAGGUUCUCCAUGGCGCUGGUAGGUCCAAACACACAACAAAUACACAACACACACACAGGAGAGGUUCUCCAUGGCGCUGGUAGGUCCAAACACACAACAAAUACACAACACACACACAGGAGAGGUUCUCCAUGGCGCUGGUAGGUCCAAACACACAACAAAUACACAACACACACACAGGAGAGGUUCUCCAUGGCGCUGGUAGGUCCAAACACACAACAAAUACACAACACACACACAGGAGAGGUUCUCCAUGGCGCUGGUAGGUCCAAACACACAACAAAUACACAACACACACACAGGAGAGGUUCUCCAUGGCGCUGGUAGGUCCAAACACACAACAAAUACACAACACACACACAGGAGAGGUUCUCCAUGGCGCUGGUAGGUAAAAAUACACAACAAAUACACAAUAAACACAACAAACACACAAUAUAUACACAAUAUAGACAAGAGAGGUUCUCCAUAGGCCUGGUAGGUAGAAAUACACUAUAAAUAAACAAUAUAUACAUUAUAUAUACACUAUACACACAGGACGAGUCCUCUGUAGUCCUAGCACAUCACAAUAGACACAAUAAAUACACACAACAUACACACACCUGGAUUUACCUGAGCCUACAGGUGAGAUCCUCCCAUUGAAUAAUGACUGCAGUGAUGAAACAUCUUCUUUAACUGUAGCUGAUUCUCAUUUCUAAGCCACCGUGUUGUAGACAUGUCCUGUGGUCAUAAGGGAUGUUAAUCAUCUCAGAGUGGUCACAUGAUUGGACUGCUUCAGGCAAAGAAACAACUAAGGAGAUGAAACGACGAAAACCAGGUUAAGAGCCAUCCAACAAUCAUUAGAACCUGAAGGAUGGUGGAGAACCUUCAUCUUCAGGAACAAACUCUGAGAUGAUUGAAGGAACAUUUUAAGUUUAGGACUGGUUUAAUGCUGGCUUAAGACUGGUUUAAAAGUGGUUUAGGACUAGUUUAAAAGUGGUUUAGGACUAAUUUAGGACUGGUUAAUGACUAGUUUAAUACUGGUUUAGGACUGGUUUAACACUGGUUUAAUACUGGUUUAGGACUGGUUUAAUACUGAUUUAAUACUGGUUUAGGACUGGUUUAGGACUGGUUUAGAGCUGGUUAAGAGCUGGUUUAGGACUGAUUUAGGACUGGUUAAUGACUAGUUUAAUACUGGUUUAGGACUGGUUUAGGACUGGUUUAAUACUGGUUUAAUAUUGGUUUAGGACUGGUUUAGACCUGGUUAAGAGCUGGUUUAGGACUGUUUAGGGCUGGUUUAGGACUGGUUUAGAGCUGGUUUAGACCUGGUUAAGAGCUGGUUUAGGACUGUUUAGGACUGGUUUAGGACUGGUUUAAUACUGGUUAAUUACUGGUUUAGGACUGGUUUAGACCCGGUUAAGAGCUGGUUUAGGACUGUUUAGAGCUGGUUUAGGACUGGUUUAGAGCUGGUUUAGGACUGGUUUAGGACUGGUUUAAAAGUGGUUUCGGACUGGUUUUACAAUGUCUUGGACAGUUUUAGGAGUAGUUUAUGUUUGAGCUUGGUCCUGGUUUAUAACUUUGUGAGGACUGGUUUCAGACUGUCUUAGGCAGGUCUUGGACUUUUUUUAACCCCAAGAACACCAAACCUACCAUCAGCCAUGGAGGUGGCAGUAUCAUGCUCUGUGGAACUGGAGCUUUACACAAAGUAAAUGGAAUAAUGAAGAAAGAGGAUCACCUCCACGUUCUUCAGGAGAACCUAAAACCAUCAGCAGAAGGUUGAUCUUGGACACAGUUGGAUGUUUCAACCAGACAAUGAGUCCAAACACAGAUCAGAUGUGGUAAAGAAAUGGUUCCAUCAGGAUACAAUGAAGGUUCUAGACUGGUCUCCCCAAAGUGACUUAAACCAUCAAGAACCUGAAGAACCAAGUCAGUAAUACAACAAAUGUAGAUGAACGACACCAGAACUGGUUCCAAUACAUUUGUCGUCUUUCUGUCUCAGACUUGAGUCAAUUAAAUUGAUAGUGUAAUGAUACUGCCACUUCCAUGCCUGAUGGUAGGUAUAGAGUCCAGAGGAGUUAAAGAGAAACCAGAAGAUGGGGGCAUUAGGGUAAAAAGAGAGGUGGAUGAAGUGAUGCACUCAUCAUAGCUAGUGUCUACAAAUCUUGGUGGCCUCCCUCACUAGUCACUUCCUUCUUCAGAGGAGUCAUAGGAGUCUUCGUGGCCUCCCUCACUAGUCUCUUUCUCCUUCAGAGGAGUCAUAGGAGUCUUGGUGACCUCCCUCUCUAGUCUCUUUCUCCUUCAGAGGAGUCAUAGGAGUCUUGGUGACCUCCCUCUCUAGUCUCUUUCUCCUUCAGAGGAGUCAUAGGAGUCUUGGUGACCUCCCUCUCUAGUCUCUUUCUCCUUCAGAGGAGUCAUAGGAGUCUUGGUGACCUCCCUCUCUGGUCUCUUUCUCCUUCAGAGGAGUCAUAGGAGUCUUGGUGGCCUCCCUCUCUCGUCUCUUUCUCCUUCAGAGGAGUCAUAGGAGUCUUGGUGGCCUCCCUCACUAGUCUCAGAUGUAUUCAGGUUCUAUGUUCUUC